rnacentral:rRNA from 1 species
CCUACGGGAGGCAGCAGUGGGGAAUCUUGCGCAAUGCGCGAAAGCGUGACGCAGCAACGCCGCGUGGGGGAAGAAGGCCUUCGGGUUGUAAACCCCUUUCAGGAGGGACGAAGGUGCGGCGGCGAACAGCCGACCGUACUGACGGUACCUCCAGAAGAAGCCCCGGCUAACUACGUGCCAGCAGCCGCAGUAAUACGUAGGGGGCAAGCGUUGUCCGGAAUCAUUGGGCGUAAAGCGCGCGUAGGCGGCCCGAUAAGUCCGCUGUAAAAGUCCAGGGCUCAACCCUGGAAAGCCGGUGGAUACUGUCGGGCUCGAGUCCGGAAGAGGCGAGUGGAAUUCCUGGUGUAGCGGUGGAAUGCGCAGAUAUCAGGAGGAACACCGAUAGCGAAGGCAGCUCGCUGGGACGGUACUGACGCUAAGGCGCGAAAGCGUGGGGAGCAAACAGGGUUAGAUACCCUGGUAGUCCACGCUGUAAACGAUGGGCACUAGGUGUGGGAGGUGUCGACUCCUCCCGUGCCGGCGCUAACGCAUUAAGUGCCCCGCCUGGGGGAGGUACGGCCGCGAGACGUAAACUACAANAGAGUAGACGCGNGAGAGNGCGAGGACGACGACGAGGGAGAGG